CCAACCAUUACAUAUACUCAUCUCAAGUUUCCAAAUUAAAUACACAAAUAUUUCACAAACUCCAUGCCAUUCCCCUCCAUAUCCUCCAAAACUCAAUUCCACUUCCACUUUCCCUAUCUCUGUCAAUACCACAACAAAACAAUAUGAAACAAAUGAGAAGAUUGGCCGUUGGUAAAACAUACAUAAAGAGAGAAUUCAUAAAAAAGAAAAAAAAAAGACAACCAAUAAUAAAUAAAGACCAUCUUUUUGUUCUUCGUGUUAAAUCACCAUUAAAGCUAAAAACAUAAUCACAUCCAUUACAUUAUAAGAAGUUGAAGUACAUCGAUUACAUUGUAAGACCUUCACUGCACUUCUAACUAGAAAAUCACCGAUACCAACAAACAAAUAUCAAUAUCAGUAUCAAUUAAGAAGUAAGUGAUGUUAUGAUGAAUAAGACAUAGAAUUAUGUGCUCUAACACUUUAUGAACCACACUUGGAAUACCCAAUAAUCAAAGGAGCAGAUUGGCCAUGGAAACACCACUCCUAAAGAAACAUAGCUAAAUCCAUUUUUAUGGUAUAUUCACUUAUGAGCUUGAAAAUUAGCAUAAAGCAAUUCAGAGACAUAACAACCAAUUCAAAUACUCCAUUGAAUCACUCAACUUAACUGCAACAAAAAGAAGAGCAGUACCUGAAGUAGAAGAAUUAGACAUCUUUGGCAAUGAGUUCACCAUUGACAAGCUCUCUGUAAGCAGCAACAGGCCAGCUGAAGCCUCUAAACACCAAACUAGUGGCCAAAGGAACAUCAAUGAUAAUCUCCUUUUGGGUAGGUUUCUUUUCAUCUCUAAUGGCGAUUAAGUAGCUCCUUCCAACCCAUCCAAUCCACCCAGCAAUGUAAAGGAACAAGAAUCCAGGAGUAAUGAACUCACCCCAAUGCCUCUGGUCACCACUCACAAUCAAAUGAGGCAAGCCAUCAGCACCACAAAGAAGCCCUUGUUUCCCAUAGAAGGCAAAUCGCCUCUUUGUCUUUUCGAUCGUGGCUUUGAUGGCAAGCGCCGGGGCGCUAUCCGGGGCGUAGUUCUUCAAAGAAGACUCAAGUUUCUUGAUCUGCUGCUUCUCCCUCUUGGCGAAUUGCUUGGAUUCCUUGCAGGGGGUGAGACCGGAGAUGUCGGCGACGGCGGGGAGAGGAGCGGAGAGGAGGAUGGAGGAGAGAGCCAAGGCAGCGGAGAAGGCUUGAAGAGAGGAAGAGGUGUUUUGGUUUUGAUUUUGGGAGGCGGAGCAGAGAAUAGAUGAGGAGGGUUUUGGCUUCAAGGCGAGUGGGGAGCUAAAUUUGGGCUUCAAGAGGGGUUUUGAGAGGUUAGUGGGGAUUGUGAGAGACAUUGUUGAAAUGGGUUCGAAGGAAUUGGGAAUUGCAGGAAGAAGAAGAUGGAGAUUUGGAGAAAGAGUGUGGAGGGAACGGUUUUAGAUUC
rnacentral:lncRNA from 1 species